rnacentral:lncRNA from 1 species
CUUCAAAAGCAGUAUAUAACUCUUUAUCAGAGCACACAUGUCUCGUAGCUCCGGUGUCAAUCCACCAUUCUUUUAGGUUAGAACCCACCAUGUUCGCUUCAAAAAUGACUGCUGCGAGACUCAUCUCCGACACAUCAUGUGCCAUGUAGUCAACCACAUUUGCUUCUUUCUUCUUCUUUGGCAAUCUGCACUCCGAAAAUUUGUGGCCUACUUUGUCACAGUUGAAGCACUUCCCUUGAAAUUUCUUCUUAGGAAUGCCCCCUUUUGGUCCCAGCUUGAUCCCUUUUCC